rnacentral:lncRNA from 1 species
UCCUCUGUGCUACAUCCUUCUUACUGGAUCUUUCUAUCAGUGAACAUUGUGGAAGUACCAUUACUACAUCGUCAUUCCUGAAGGAAAAGUUGCCAAACUUUUUUCUUUGGAGUUGUUUCAAAGUUGUUGGAAUUUUUGAUGAUGCCUCCCCUAUGUGGAUUACUACUGUUUGAACACUGGGAAUUCUCCAUCUUAAAGAAGCGCUCCCAGGUGACUACAGAAGCCUCGACACCCAGCGUGAUCAGUGAGUAAAUUUCCAAGCCAUCAAGAAGAAAUACGGUUGUCUCUCCAGCGUUCCAACAGGACCAUUCCAACAUCACUUGAACGUAAGCUCAAUGAAAACUGGCCUUUUCCUAUGUUUGGUUCACUGCUGGGACCCGGCACCUAGGGAAGAACCUCUUCAAUAACAAUACUCAGUGGAUUUUCCUUAAAUUACUGAGACUGUGGAAGGCUGGUUGUGUUGGAGGUACUCUGCAAGGCAUUGGAAAUAUUGGGAAAGUAAAUCCAGGGUCCACAACCUCAUCAUCUACCAGGUAGGAAGAAAAAUAAACAGAAAAUCACAGUUUGUAACCUGUGCUCC